rnacentral:lncRNA from 1 species
CCAGGAGUUCAAGAAAGCCUUUCAGAAUGUCCUGCGAAUCCAGUGUCUUCGCAGAAGGCAGUCUUCCAAGCAUGCCCUGGGCUAUACCCUGCACCCGCCCAGCCAGGCUCUAGAGGGACAGCACAGAGACAUGGGCUUUUAUCCAUGAAGCCACCUGUGCGACAGAGCCCAGUUGGAACACUUCACCUGCUCUGGGCUGACAAACUAAUGCUGAGGAGCUGUGCUGAGGCCACAUCUUCCAAAAGCCAUGGCAACAGUGGCCUCCCGCCCUCCAAGGUCCCCGCAAGAUGAAGGAGUGGACAUGACUGUUGGGGGCCUGGGUUGGGAAGCAAGCUAGGAUUUCAGCAGACAAUGCCCGCCCCAGGGAAAGGUGCCAUUGGUAGGAUCUCCUUCAUGUUUCCCAGACCUAUGGCAUAAGGGUGAGCUGAGAAAGAGGCUUACCUGCUCUCUGCAGAGAAUGUCAUGGUUCAAAACACCACUGCUGAACUUACAAAGGCCUUAGGAAUGGCAGGGAGCACUGAAGGGAAGAUUGACCAUAGCUGUGGCUCAAAGCAGAGAGGUUUAGUUAUGCUUUUCCUUGACUGAUAAGCAAGGAACUGCCCUGAAACUGGAGGUUUGGAUUUGGGAGUUCUUGC